UACCAGCACCCCGAGUGGUCGGGACGAUUAUUGGGCCUAAAGCAUCCGUAGCCGGUUCUACAAGUCUUCCGUUAAAUCCACCUGCUUAACAGAUGGGCUGCGGAGGAUACUAUGGAGCUAGGAGGCGGGAGAGGCAAGCGGUACUUAGUGGGUAGGGGUAAAAUCCGUUGAUCCAUUGAAGAACACCCGUGGCGAAGGCGGUUCUCUGGGACGGUACUGACGCUGAGACGCGAAAGCGUGGGGAGCGAACAGG
rnacentral:rRNA from 1 species